rnacentral:rRNA from 1 species
CCCUUAGAUGUCCUGGGCCGCGCGCGCGCUACAAUGACUCACUCAGAAAGUUUUUCCUGAUCCGGAAGGAUUCGGGUAAUCUUCAUAGCAUGAGUCGUGUUAGGGAUCGAUCUUUGCAAUUAUAGAUCUUGAACGAGGAAUGCCUAGUAAGUGCAGCUCAUCAGGCUGUACUGAUUACGUCCUUGCCCUUUGUACACACCGCCCGUCGCACCUACCGAUUGAAUGUUUCGGUGAAGAUUCCGGAUAGGACUUUUUUGAUUUAUUUCAAUUCUGUCUUAAAAGCUAUCUAAACCUCAACAUUUAGAGGAAGGUGAAGUCGUAACA